GGGCACGUCUGCCUGGGUGUCA
rnacentral:siRNA from 1 species